AACAGACCAGCAAAACAACACAGACCACAAUAGCAAAACAGUUCAACAAAAGAGCAAAACCAACCAGAAAAAAGAAGAAAAAACAAAUCCAAUUUAAUAAUGUUUCAACAUCUAAUUCUUGUUCUUCUAAAGCUCAUCUACUUCAUCAAGAUUGUCCAGAUCUUGCAUUCUUCCAUUAUCAUCACAUUCCUCAUCAUCUUCCUCAACUCAGCUUGAAGU
rnacentral:lncRNA from 1 species